rnacentral:lncRNA from 1 species
AUGAAAUCCUGGAGUCAGCAGAUGCACCGCUAGAAGUCACAGAAGGAUUUAUUCAGUCCAUUUCCCUGUCAGUCCCAUGGGGCUCUUUGCUGCAGGACAACUGUGCACUGGAAGUGAGAGGGCUGGAGAUGGUCUUCCGGCCUCGACCUCGGGGAGCAACUGGGUCUGAGCCUAUGUAUUGGUCAAGCUUCAUGACCAGCAGUAUGCAGUUGGCAAAGGAGUGUCUUAGCCAGAAACUGACAGAUGAGCAAGGAGAAGCAUCCCAG